rnacentral:SRP_RNA from 1 species
GCCAGGCGUGGUGGCGUGCGCCUGUGGUCCCAGCUACUUAGGAGGCUGAGGUGGGAGGAUUACUUGAUCCCAGAAGGUUGAGGCUGCAGUGAGCUUGAUCAAGCCACUGCACUCCAGCCUGGGUGACAGAGCAAGACCCUGUCUCAA